AGGACGAACGCUGGCGGCGUGCUUCAUACAUGCAAGUCGAACGAGAAACUGACUUCGGUCAGUGGAAAGUGGCGGACGGGUGAGUAAUAUGUAGAGAAUCUGCCCUUGAGUGAGGGACAACAGAAGGAAACUUCUGCUAAUACCUCAUAUGAGCUUAGUUGAAAUACUGAUCUUGAAAACUCCGGUGCUCAAGGAUGAGUCUGCAUCUGAUUAGCUAGUUGGCGGUGUAAUGGACCACCAAGGCGACGAUCAGUAGCUGGUUUGAGAGGAUGAUCAGCCACAAUGGGACUGAGACACGGCCCAUACUCCUACGGGAGGCAGCAGUAGGGAAUUUUGCGCAAUGGGCGAAAGCCCUGACGCAGCAACGCCGCGUGAACGAUUAAGCCCUUCGGGGUGUAAAGUUCUGUCAGUAGGGACGAAACUUGACGGUACCUACAGAGGAAGCACCGGCUAACUCCGUGCCAGCAGCGGC
rnacentral:rRNA from 1 species